rnacentral:tRNA from 1 species
UCCCUGCUGGCUCAGAUGGUAAAGAAUCUGCCUGCAAUGCAGAAGACCUGGGUUUGAUCCCUGGGUGGGGAA